GUGAGUAACACGUGGACAACCUGCCUCAAGGCUGGGGAUAACAUUUGGAAACAGAUGCUAAUACCGAAUGAAACUUAGUGUCGCAUGAUACGAAGUUAAAAGGCGCUUUGGCGUCACCUAGAGAUGGAUCCGCGGUGCAUUAGUUAGUUGGUGGGGUAAAGGCCUACCAAGACAAUGAUGCAUAGCCGAGUUGAGAGACUGAUCGGCCACAUUGGGACUGAGACACGGCCCAAACUCCUACGGGAGGCUGCAGUAGGGAAUCUUCCACAAUGGGCGAAAGCCUGAUGGAGCAACGCCGCGUGUGUGAUGAAGGCUUUCGGGUCGUAAAGCACUGUUGUAUGGGAAGAACAGCUAGAAUAGGGAAUGAUUUUAGUUUGACGGUACCAUACCAGAAAGGGACGGCUAAAUACGUGCCAGCAGCCGCGGUAAUACGUAUGUCCCGAGCGUUAUCCGGAUUUAUUGGGCGUAAAGCGAGCGCAGACGGUUGAUUAAGUCUGAUGUGAAAGCCCGGAGCUCAACUCCGGAAUGGCAUUGGAAACUGGUUAACUUGAGUGCAGUAGAGGUAAGUGGAACUCCAUGUGUAGCGGUGGAAUGCGUAGAUAUAUGGAAGAACACCAGUGGCGAAGGCGGCUUACUGGACUGUAACUGACGUUGAGGCUCGAAAGUGUGGGUAGCAAACAGGAUUAGAUACCCUGGUAGUCCACACCGUAAACGAUGAACACUAGGUGUUAGGAGGUUUCCGCCUCUUAGUGCCGAAGCUAACGCAUUAAGUGUUCCGCCUGGGGAGUACGACCGCAAGGUUGAAACUCAAAGGAAUUGACGGGGACCCGCACAAGCGGUGGAGCAUGUGGUUUAAUUCGAAGCAACGCGAAGAACCUUACCAGGUCUUGACAUCCUUUGAAGCUUUUAGAGAUAGAAGUGUUCUCUUCGGAGACAAAGUGACAGGUGGUGCAUGGUCGUCGUCAGCUCGUGUCGUGAGAUGUUGGGUUAAGUCCCGCAACGAGCGCAACCCUUAUUGUUAGUUGCCAGCAUUCAGAUGGGCACUCUAGCGAGACUGCCGGUGACAAACCGGAGGAAGGCGGGGACGACGUCAGAUCAUCAUGCCCCUUAUGACCUGGGCUACACACGUGCUACAAUGGCGUAUACAACGAGUUGCCAACCCGCGAGGGUGAGCUAAUCUCUUAAAGUACGUCUCAGUUCGGAUUGUAGUCUGCAACUCGACUACAUGAAGUCGGA
rnacentral:rRNA from 1 species